GGGGGUGUGGCUCAGUGAUGGAGCACUUGCCUAGCAGGCACAAAGCCCUGGGUUCAAUUCCCAGCACUGCCG
rnacentral:tRNA from 1 species